rnacentral:rRNA from 1 species
CCUACGGGUAGCAGCAGUGGGGAAUAUUGGGCAAUGGAGGCAACUCUGACCCAGCAACGCCGCGUGAAUGAUGAAGGUCUUCGGAUUGUAAAGUUCUGUGAUGGGGGAUGAACACAAUGACGGUACCCCAAUAGCAAGCCACGGCUAACUACGUGCCAGCAGCCGCGGUAAUACGUAGGUGGCAAGCGUUAUCCGGAAUGACUGGGCGUAAAGGGUGCGUAGGUGGUUUAGUAAGGUGGCUGGUUAAUUCUGGGGCUCAACCUCGGCGCUACCGCCAAAACUAUUAGACUCGAGUGCAGGCGGGGUAAGCGGAAUAAGUAGUGUAGCGGUGGAAUGCUUAGAUAUUAGGAGGAACACCAGUGGCGAAGGCGACUUACUGGACUGUAACUGACACUGAGGCACGAAAGCGUGGGUAGCAAACAGGAUUAGAUACCCCAGUAGUC